rnacentral:rRNA from 1 species
UACGAAGGGGGCUAGCGUUGUUCGGAAUUACUGGGCGUAAAGGGCUCGUAGGCGGCCAACUAAGUCAUACGUGAAAUCCCUCGGCUUAACCGGGGAACUGCGUCUGAUACUGGAUGGCUUGAGUUCGGGAGAGGGAUGCGGAAUUCCAGGUGUAGCGGUGAAAUGCGUAGAUAUCUGGAGGAACACCGGUGGCGAAGGCGGCCACCUGGACGGUCACUGACGCUGAGACGCGAAAGCGUGGGUAGCAAACAGG